rnacentral:lncRNA from 1 species
AACGUGAAAAAUCAGCUUCAGUUUCCCUUUGUUUCCUUUAUUUUAAUUUAUCGAUUGGGAUCGUGAAAAUGGAAGAAGAGGAACGUAUUUUUAGAAAUUAUAUUUUCGUUGACACGAAUCGUGUCGAGCGUUUUUUCACUCUUGCGGAUAAUCAAUCCAUCAACUUACGCAAUCUUCAAACUUAGCGGAAAUAUGAUCGACGACUCUUCGCUAACUUUCUAAAAGCUUUCACUUCAAGAGGAAAACGGUCAUAUUAUCAGAAAUAAACGAGGCUCGCGUAAAAGUAAUAGUCAAUUAUCGUUAAUUACUGACCGUCCUGAAUCUGCAAACCAAGACUCUGCGGAGACCCGUCGCCGUCCAUGACGGAAACCAAAGACGCGCCGCAGCAUCGUGGCAUUUUCUCAUCGAAACGUCACAGUCCGCAAAUCUUUAACCAUCCUCCUGUAUAGAAAUUGCAUUGAGUUGAGAAACCAACCAACCAACCAACCCUGAGCAAACAAAGAUCUUUCGUGCGAAAUGGGAAAGAAAAGAGAUUGUCGUCGUGAUUUCAUUCGCUCGUUUCAAUCGUGGAUUUGUAUUUCGUCAAUUCUACGUAUACAAAAGAAAUCAUAAAGAUUUAGCCAUCCAUUGGUUAAAAAAAUAAAGAAGAAAAUAGUAAAAAUGGGAAACGUGAUCGCGAUAGAUGAGAAGCAGGGUGAAACGUUGAUCCCACGCUGGACUAGAAGGUACUGCACCAAACACGCGGACCGAUAUAGCCCUCGGACAGGUAGAUCAAUAUAGUAGCUACGGCAUGCCUAACACGCAGGAUCUCUUGCCAGUGAACGCGUGAUUCUCAGCCCGCGGUGAUUGAGGGUGAAGCUGGCCGAAUUUCAUCUUAAAUUGAAGAUAACAAGAGCUAACUUGAUUUGAAACAAGGAAUACUUUCGAAUAAAAACUUUAUUUAGAACUUUUGAAAGAAAACUCAUUUCAAAUGAUUCAUUUGGAUUGCUUUUUUGGAAAAUUUUAGAAAGAUACAGAGAAACUAUUAUCAAAUAUGUAGAUUUUUUAUUUCUGCAAUUAUUACAUGGCAAGUAUUUUUAUUAAAAUAGAAAUUAUAUAUCUAAUUAUGUAUCUAUUUACUUUCAGUGUAAUUUAAUUGUUAUCAUUUAUGUAGGAUUU